UACGGGAGGCAGCAGUGAGGAAUAUUGGUCAAUGGACGCAAGUCUGAACCAGCCAUGCCGCGUGCAGGAAGACGGUCCUAUGGAUUGUAAACUGCUUUUGUACGGGAAGAAACCCUCCGACGUGUCGGAGUUUGACGGUACCGUAAGAAUAAGCAUCGGCUAACUCCGUGCCAGCAGCCGCGGUAAUACGGAGGAUGCGAGCGUUAUCCGGAAUCAUUGGGUUUAAAGGGUCCGUAGGCGGUUUAAUAAGUCAGUGGUGAAAUCUGGUCGCUCAACGAUCAAACUGCCAUUGAUACUGUUAGACUUGAAUUACUGUGAAGUAACUAGAAUAUGUAGUGUAGCGGUGAAAUGCUUAGAUAUUACAUGGAAUACCAAUUGCGAAGGCAGGUUACUAACAGUGGAUUGACGCUGAUGGACGAAAGCGUGGGGAGCGAACAGGAUUAGAUACCCUGGUAGUCCACGCCGUAAACGAUGGAUACUAGUUGUUUGGAUUUAUCUGAGUGACUAAGCGAAAGUGAUAAGUAUCCCACCUGGGGAGUACGAACGCAAGUUUGAAACUCAAA
rnacentral:rRNA from 1 species